GCAAUGAUGGUUAAGUGGUAGAGUUCUCAGCUUCUCUGUGGGAGACCCAGGUUCAAUUCCUGGCCAAUGUA
rnacentral:tRNA from 1 species